GGAGAUCCUGCCGAGGUAAGGACUAGCCAUCCGCCUCGUAUCGAGUCUUGGAGGCAUUGCGGUAACGUAGUGUUUUAAGCGUAGACAGAAAGUCAGCGAGGUAGAAUCGACUGGGUGGUAUCCCAGCGGUGAACGGGAUUGAGCCCCGAAAACUCUGUAACUAAUGAUAGAGGCAGAAACGGUCGGGAACGUGGAAAGCAAUAUCACCUUGUGCGUAUAAGGCGAGGACAAGGUGACCUAUCCGGGGUCGAAGACCA
rfam:Desulfitibacter sp. BRH_c19 BRHa_1000483, whole genome shotgun sequence.